ensembl:misc_RNA Y_RNA Y RNA
GACGUGUCUGAGUACAGUGGUAUUUAUAAAUAAUUGAUCACAAUCAAUUACAGAUUCCUUUGUUCCUUCCCCCCCCACUGCUUCCCUUGACUAGACUUUU